CUAAACCAGCAAGAGGGCAGUGAGCAGCUGAGCUUACGAACCAUUUCAUAGGAACGCUCUACCUUCGAAUAGCGGUGGAAACCUGUAAUUCAAGGCUGUGAAUGACAAGUUUAAGUCAGAAAUACUGCUUUCAAAGUUCAAAGAAUAAAUAGCUUUCCAGUCCACAGCAGACUUAAAGGAAUGAUGGGUCAACUUGUCAUUAGAUAUGUGUCACGAAACCAUUCUUCUUCUAAUAAAUUAAUCCAU